GACGAACGCUGGCGGCGCGCUUAACACAUGCAAGUCGAACGGAAAGGCUUGCUUUCCCUUGUGGAUUGCGGGUACUCGAGUGGCGAACGGGUGAGUAACACGUGAGUGAUCUGCCCCCAACUUGGGUAUAAGCCUGGGAAACUGGGUCUAAUUCCCGAUAGGACUGCAGGGUGGUGCCUGUGGUGGAAAACGAUUUUCUAGUGGUUGGGGAUGAGCUCGCGGCCUAUCAGCUUGUUGGUGGGGUAAUGGCCUACCAAGGCGGCGACGGGUAGCCGGCCUGAGAGGGUGGACGGCCACAUUGGGACUGAGAUACGGCCCAGACUCCUACGGGAGGCAGCAGUGGGGAAUAUUGCACAAUGGGCGGAAGCCUGAUGCAGCGACGCCGCGUGGGGGAUGACGGCCUUCGGGUUGUAAACUCCUUUCGACCGCGAGGAAGCCACCUGGUUGGAAGGGUGGUGACGGUAGUGGUAGAAGAAGCACCGGCUAACUACGUG
rnacentral:rRNA from 1 species